UUGUGGACAAUGAAAGGCGUCGAGGAUUCUACAUUCUUUGCACGUGACCAUAAUUUUCAGCCCACUCAAAACUUAACCGCCCUUCUACACAAAAUAAUAAACCCUGUAAACUCUCUGAUUCUUUCACAACGAACCCUAAUUCGCCGCCAACCCUUCUGCAAUCUUCACAUUUCAUCUCUAAAGACUUUGAGAUUCAGUGAAUUCGGCUAGAAAACUGUGAAAAUCGCAUCUCUUCGUCAAUAUCGCCAACUCAAUUCAUGUUGUAGUAACAUCCUUGCUGUUGUUAUCGAUUGAUUUUGCUAGUUUUUUGCUUAUAUCUCACUGAAAUUUGUUUUAUUUAUCUUGAUAUGUGGUUUCUUUUUGUUCAAUUGAAUCUAAAUUUGUUUUAAUGUUGUGUUUUUCUACCGAUUGUUUUUGGUUCUUUGGGGAUUUAUCGGUUGAAAUUGUGUUACAAUGGGACAGAUAAGUUUUCAAUAUGAAGCUUCUAUGAUGCUCCAAUAUCGUCUAAUUAUAAGAGCUUCAGUCUCCUCCGAUCAACCUCUUGCACAUCGCACAACUUCCGACGCUGCUUGCUACAAUAUCUUGGAGUUAUUAAUUAAGAUAUAUUGAGUCAAAUUUAUCAUUUUAGUUAUCUCAUAAUUGUUCUGAUAGUAUGAUCCUUUGUUUUCGUAUUCUUUGUAACUUAACUAGUAACAGAGAUAUUCCCUCUUCUUUCUUGAUUUGUUGAGUGUUAUUAUCUCUGAAAUUGUGUAGAUUAGGCUUGAAUUUCCUGGGAUUUAACUAAUCAGGUGGCUGUUAGUUUAAUCUUGUGAAGCUGGGGUGAAGAAAGCUUGGGGUGGGUAAGGUGUGAUUGAUAUAGUGGGAAAGUUGAGUUCUUUGGGAAGCAAGUUAAUGGACUUGGGGCUCCAAAUUGAACAAGCAGAAACAACGACUCUCGAAAAAAAUAAGCCAUGCCAUGAGUAUUACAGCUUGAGGACGACACUGUUACUGUUACAUGAACUCCAAGAUUUUCCUAACUGAGAGACUGGCUUCUUACAUAGAAUUGUAGGCUGAAAACUCUACUUUGCUGAAGAGCUAUGAUUGAUGUUGUUACAGGAUGCUGAUCAAGCUCCAUCUAGCGUUGUUGCUCCAUAAUAUUGUUGCUAAUGUUGUUAGCCCAUGAUGAUGAGGAUCUACAAACAUCAAAGGGUGUUCUGUGAAUUCAAGGCCAACAAUGAUUCGAAACAAUAUGAACUUUGCUUUACGCUCCUUGCAAGAAGAUUAAGGAGCAGCUACUUGGAGAUCGAUUGAUUGAAGUUUUUUUUUUUUUUUUUUUUUUUUUUUUUUUUUUUUUUUUUUUGAAGAAAUGAGCAGAUUUAUUCCACUAGCUAGUACUAGUCAUGAGUGAAGUGUAGGUUGGAAUUAUAUUUCUUGUACUACCUAAUAGCAAACUCAUUACAAUGAGAUAUUGUCCAUGUACUAUAACAUAUUUAUAUGCAAUAACAAAAUUGGCUUAA